UACGUAGGGGGCAAGCGUUGUCCGGAUUUAUUGGGCGUAAAGAGCGUGUAGGCGGCCAAGCAGGUCCGCUGUGAAAACUCGAGGCUCAACCUCGAGACGUCGGUUGAAACCGUAUGGCUAGAGUCCGGAAGAGGAGAGUGGAAUUCCCGGUGUAGCGGUGAAAUGCGCAGAUAUCGGGAAGAACACCCGUGGCGAAGGCGGCUCUCUGGGACGGUACUGGACGCGUGAGACGCGAAAGCGUGGGGAGCGAACAGG
rnacentral:rRNA from 1 species